AUUACCAGAAAGAGGUCCUGAUCCAGAUAACAAGAGAGGGUUCUUGAUCUCACGCAAGAAAGAAUUCAGGGCGAGUCCACAGAGUAAAGUGGAAGCAAGUGGAUUGAGAAAGGAGAG